CCGUUGGCUAUUUUGGACUUCCUUUGCUUGAACUUGGUUCUGUACAAAGAAGAAAGACCUUGACAAGUGAAUGGAGAAGGUUCUCAGGAAUGCAGAUAAUAGUUUCUUCUUAGGAAGAAAAGCCAGGCAAAAAAUCGCACAAGCUCUUCAAAAACUAUCUUUAAAUGCUGCGUUUCCUCCAAGUGAUCUUCCUCUUGUAGAGAAACAGGACGAGUUGAAUCGUGAAACACAUCAGUCCUCCAAUAUGAAGGUCCCCUGUGACCCGUAGAAGAAAAUCCUUUUGUACCUCUUCAUGCUGAUGAUCAACUAUCACCAAGAGCUCCCAGGAGUGAGACCCAUAUUCACUUGAGGAAAUCAUUUUGGAAAGGUCUAGUUGCCUGUGAAUAAUCAACUUGAGGGAAGAGACUGUGGAGGUUGAUGCCAACCUUGUUGUGCUGUGCCAGGAGGGCUAUGGCACGUGUUCCUCCUGCACUGCUCUGGGACUGCUGGAGAAAACUCUCUGCGACCCAUGUGCCAGAUCCUUUUGGGUGGGAGAUGCACUUGCUGUGUGCUGGAGGAGCUGGAUGAAGAGGAAAAGAUGUGAAAAAAAGCCAGAAGAAGCUUGGGUAAGUUCUUCUUGAAUCUAGCAUAAACUGUUACAAGGUGUAGGUGUCAGGAACUGGGUGGAUUUUCAAUCAGCAUUAACCAUACCCACAGCAUUAGAGGCAGUGAUGGUUUACUUCUGAGGAGGUGCAAAGUUAAAGUCUGUUUUGGAGGCAGCAUGCUCAC